rnacentral:lncRNA from 1 species
ACUGUUUGGACUGGUAUUGUGAUAAUAAUUAUUAAAAUUCGAGAUUACAUGUUCGUUGCAUAAGUGCGUCAGGUGGUGUCUGUAUUUAAUUGAAUAUAACCGUUCCUGAUCUGAGGUUUGUAUGUAUUUCUGUCACGUAGUGUUAUCGUUUUAACGAUAUUUGUUAACAUUUUCAUAUAAGCGGGAGGUUUGGCUAGCCAUAAAACCAGGUUAAGUCAAUGUCCUGUACCAAGAAAGGAAUAUGGCAGUUGAUAUCAAAUAGUUCGUUUCUACAUAUGUUAGCGGUUUUGUUUUGCAAUUCAGUGUAUCUGUUAUACCUUUGUUUUUCUUCUUAUAGUUGAUGUAUUUUCCUCGUAUUUAUGGCCCGGAUUUUUUCUCUUGGUUGAUUUAUGACUUUUGAACACCGGUAUAUUAUUUGCCUGAGGUUUACAGUAGAUUCCCAAAAAUUU